GGCACCAACAGCUACAACUGCGGCACCAACAGCUACAACUACGGCACCAACAGCUACAACUGCGGUACCAACAGCUACAACUGCAGCAACAACAACUACAACCACAACUACAACUGUGGCUCCUCAACCUACUUACACUGUCUCAGUGGGCUUGACUGAUGAGCCAUUUACUGAAGAGCUCAAAAACCCACAAAGCAGUCAAUACAAAGAUCUUGAACAAAAACUCGUAGGGCCGUGCAACACAAUAUACAAGAACAAAUUUGGUAAAAACUUCGACAAAUGCCGUGUGAAAGAGUUCAGGAGACGAUCAACAAAAGCAGUUGAAGUUGAUGCAGAUUUGGAGAUUCUGUUCAAUACGGAUUCUACCAUUUCAGAACUCCCAGAGAAUGGUGUUGUUGCUGAAACAUUAGUAUCAGCUGUAAAUAAUGCCAACAGCACCUUCAACGUGACGAUAGAUUCCAGCACAAUCAGUGUAAUUGCAAGUCCAGUUGCAACUCCUACAACUGCAACAACAACAGCUACAACUGCAGCAACAACUAC